UGAGGUGAUUGGACGAUCGCUAUUUUAAAUAGAGGAAAGUCCGAGCUCCAAUGGGAAAGGUGCCAGUUAACGACUGGUCAAGGUGACUUGAAGGAAAGUGCCACAGAAAAUAUACCGCUAUUUAAUAAUAGUAAGGGUGAAAAGGUGAGGUAAGAGCUCACCGCUUAAUUGGUAACAAUAAAGGCAUGGCAAACCCCACCUGGUGAAAGAUCAUAUAGAAAGGAAAGGGAUAAUCCCAUAUCCAAGUACUUUGGGUAGAUCGCUUGAGCUUAUUGGCAACAAUAAGCCUAGA
rnacentral:RNase_P_RNA from 1 species